rnacentral:sRNA from 1 species
GCCAGGCAUGGUGGUGCAUGCCUGUAGUCCCAGCUACUCGGGAGGCUGAGGCAGGAGAAUCGCUUGAACCCGGGAGGUGGAGGUUGCAGUGAGCCAAGAUCAUGUCACUGCACUCCAGCCUGGGUGACAGAGUGAGACUCUGUCUCAA